UGCCACUGCACUCCAGCCUAGGGGAUAGAGCAAGACCUUGUCUCAAAAAAAAUGAAGACUUCUCGACUUCACUGUAUUCAUUUUCCAAAUCUGGCUCCUCUAUUUCCUAAUUGCAUGACUACGCAUAAGUUAAUUAUCAUGCUCAAGUUACUUAACCUCUCUCUGCCUCAGUGUCCUCAUCAGUGAAAUGUGGGGAAUAAUAGCACACCUACCUCACUGAGUAGUUGUGAGGAGCAACUGAAUUGAUAUAUGCAAAGUGCUUGAAAUAGUGUCUGGAAUGUAAUAAGUGCUGUGUAUGUGUUAGCUGUUGUCUCCAGUUCCCAGCAUAGUUUCUGGUACAUAGUGGUGUUAAAUAAGUGUGUGUGGCUUAAUGAAUGAACUUUCAUUAAGGAUUCAUAAGAAGACAGGAUGGGGAAUGGGGAAACGGAGGAAGCACCCUGAGAAGUCACCAGAAAUCUAAAGAAUGGAGCUCCAUCUUCCUGCAAAUGAGGACCGAAGACCAGCUUGCCGUAGGAGAAACAGAGGUUAGGCACAGAAAACUUCUCAGUGGUUAAAAGUGAAAGUAUCUGGGAUGCGAACAUGAGCAAGAGAACACUUCUUUAUAGGAGAACUUGGGCCUCAGUCUGCAGAGACACAGAAGCAAAUGACUUUAUGAAGCUCCUGACUGUAUGAAGUUCUCAGUGAAACAGAAUAGCACCUCUUCUGCCCAUCUCAGAAGUAGAUGAGGGCAAAGUGAAAUAAUGGAAAGCACAAGGAACAGUAAAAGGCAAAUGUCAAGAAGCUGUUUGCAAAGUUACCAAGAUGUAAAAUUAGAUUUUACUUAUUAAUAAUCGUGUCACUUGUCAUUCUGUUUAUAACGGUCAGUUCACUGCUGAUAUUCAAGUGGACCAUUUAAACUGUAUUUUUGCUCAACUAUCCCUCCAAAUAAAUAUCUCAAGAUCUUGACUG